rnacentral:misc_RNA from 1 species
GAGAACUUCAGCAAGCAUCAGCAUGAGAUAAUUACUCAAUCUCUUCAAUCGGAGAAAUACUUGAAAGUUCAAAAGAUUCAAGGCAACUCUCAACAAAAUGGAAACAAAGAAAGCAAUUACUACAGAGAUCUUCAAGAGACUCUUGCCAAAAGUGUAUCAGCGAAACAAUCUCCGGGCGAUACAGUAGCUCAGACUUUAGACAGCAAUCAUAUCCAUAAAUCCCAUCUAAUUAGUUUGUCAUCCAAAG